rnacentral:tmRNA from 1 species
GGGGCUGACUUGGAUUUCGACAGAUUUCUUGUCGCACAGAUAGCAUGCCAAGUGCUGCUUGUAAAACAGCAACAAAAAUAACUGUAAACAACGCAGAUUACGCUCCAGCUUACGCUAAAGCCGCGUGAGUUAAUCUCCUUUUGGAGCUGGACUGAUUAAAAUUUCUAGCGUUUUAAUCACUCCAUAACCUUAAGCUAGACGCUUUUAAAAGGUGGUUCGCCUUUUAAACUAAGAAACAAGAACUCUUGAAACUACCUCAAGGUUUUAGAAAGUUGGACCAGAGCUAGUUUUAAGGCUAAAAAACUAACCAAUUUUCUAAGCAUUGUAGAAGUUUGUGUUUAGGGCAAGAUUUUUGGACUGGGGUUCGAUUCCCCACAGCUCCACCA